GACGGGGGGUCCUAGCGUUGUUCGGAAUUAUUGGGCGUAAAGCGUGUGCAGGUUGUUUGAAAAGUUGGAUGUGAAAUCCUUGGGCUUAACCCAAGACGUGCAUUCAAAACUGCCAAACUUGAGUAUGGAAGAGGAUCGUGGAAUUCCUAGUGUAGUGGUGAAAUACGUAGAGAUCCGGAAGAACACCGACGGCGAAGGCAGCGUCCUGGCCGAGCACUGACGCUCAGGCACGAAAGCGCGGGGAGCGAACAGG
rnacentral:rRNA from 1 species